rnacentral:lncRNA from 1 species
CAAUUACCCUCCGCCAGAAACUUCACUUUUCUUCCAUCUUCACACAAGACUGCUUUGGCAAACUCCCGCUGGAUGCUGAGCUCAAUUUUAGGAAAUAAAGCAAGAAGUGCAAAAGAGGCAUAGAAGUGCACAUCAUAUGUACACCACAUGAUAUAUUCUACACCUUCCAAGUAUAGAAACCUACCCACAUCAUCACUGUCAAUAAUAAUUGAUUCUGAAAUCUUGUUGCAUAGAAGUGCACAUCAUACGUACACCACAUAAUAUAUUCUACACCUUCCAAGUAUAGAAACCUACCCACAUCAUCACUGUCAGUAAUAAUUGAUUCUGAAAUCU